rnacentral:sRNA from 1 species
GCUACAAAUCUGAGGAAGGCUUCCACGGCUUGUUCGUUGGGGGCCUUUUUCUU